rnacentral:rRNA from 1 species
UACGGGGGGGCAAGCGUUGUUCGGAAUUACUGGGCGUAAAGGGCUCGUAGGCGGCCAACUAAGUCGGACGUGAAAUCCCCAGGCUCAACCUGGGAACUGCGUCCGAUACUGGAUGGCUUGAAUCCGGGAGAGGGAUGCAGAAUUCCAGGUGUAGCGGUGAAAUGCGUAGAUAUCUGGAGGAAUACCGGUGGCGAAGGCGGCAUCCUGGACCGGCAUUGACGCUGAGGAGCGAAAGCCAGGGGAGC